CGGGGGGGGCAAGCGUUGUUCGGAAUUACUGGGCGUAAAGGGCUCGUAGGCGGCCAACUAAGUCGGACGUGAAAUCCCCAGGCUCAACCUGGGAACUGCGUCCGAUACUGGAUGGCUUGAAUCCGGGAGAGGGAUGCAGAAUUCCAGGUGUAGCGGUGAAAUGCGUAGAUAUCUGGAGGAAUACCGGUGGCGAAGGCGGCAUCCUGGACCGGCAUUGACGCUGAGGAGCGAAAGCUAGGGGAGCAAACGGGAUUAGAUACCCCGGUAGUCCUAGCCCUAAACGAUGAAUGCUUGGUGUAACGGGUAUCGAUCCCUGUUGUGCCGAAGCUAACGCAUUAAGCAUUCCGCCUGGGGAGUACGGUCGCAAGGCUG
rnacentral:rRNA from 1 species